rnacentral:rRNA from 1 species
GACGAACGCUGGCGGCGUGCCUAAUACAUGCAAGUCGAACGCAUUUUCUUUCACCGUAGCUUGCUACACCGAAAGAAAAUGAGUGGCGAACGGGUGAGUAACACGUGGGUAACCUGCCCAUCAGCGGGGGAUAACACUUGGAAACAGGUGCUAAUACCGCAUAAUUCCAUUUACUGCAUGGUAGAUGGAUGAAAGGCGCUUUUGCGUCACUGAUGGAUGGACCCGCGGUGCAUUAGCUAGUUGGUGAGGUAACGGCCUACCAAGGCUGCGAUGCAUAGCCGACCGGAGAGGGUGAUCGGCCACACUGGGACGGAGACACGGCCCAGACUCCUACGGGAGGCAGCAGGAGGGAAUCUUCGGCAAUGGACGCAAGUCUGACCGAGCAACGCCGCGGGAGGGAAGAAGGUUUUCGGAUCGUAAAACUCUGUUGUUAGAAAAGAACAAGGAUGAGAGUGGAAAGUUCAUCCCUUGACGGUAUCUAAUCAGAAAGCCACGGCUAACUACGUG